UAAAAGGUGCCUCUUUGCCAAGUUAGCAGGGGUGAGAGGAAUUUGAAGUCUGAGAGCCAGCAAAGGGGGUGGGACUGGCUGCACGGGCUCCCUCCAACCCUGGAGGGACAGCCCGUGCCAGCCAAUGAGCUGGCAGCCCGGAGAAGAAGCUUCCUCCGUUACCUCCAGUUUGGAGAACAAUCUCAAUCCGAGCAUAAUGGAGAUAGGAAUGGAUCUUUGGUUGUGUGAGUGGAGCUCACUACAAACCAAGGGUUCAUUCCCAGGUUUGGGGGCAAAAUUGGGUCUGGGGAAAGCGUGUUUGGGUCCAGGAACUGCGGUUCCAAUAAUUCUGACAUCACAGGGGCUGACCUGGAGCUGUUGGAAGACUUUCUUGGUACGCAACCUCUUGGCUUUUACAUCUGGAAUCAUGCUUGUCAUGGUUACUUAAACACUGGAACAACUGGAACAAAAAUCUUUUUCGGAGUUUUACAGUUUGAAGAAAGCUUUUAAACAAACAAAACAGAACGGCAUCAGCCUUAAACACCACAAUAGACUGAUUUCAAAAGGUGACAAUAGCAUGGAGAAGGCUCCCAAGAGACAUUCGCUGCAGCAGUUGAUGAAAGACUGAGGGACAAAAUAUCAAGGAUCUAAAAGUAACUGUUCUUAAGAAAAUCAGCUGCAGGAGACUCACGGAGCAUGAAAUAGUGGAUCAGGAACUGAUACAGAAAUCUGACGGUAUUGAUUGAGGUCUUAAGAGAUAUUAUGGUUUCCUUGUACAUUCUAAAGAACCCACUUCUAUUUUAAAUUUUUAUGUUUUAUCUCUCUUCUUCUGAAGAUUUUGGAAUAUUUUCAUUACGUCUACCAUCAACUGACCUUUCUACUGUGCUCCCCCCAGUUCCAGUUUAGCAUCUGAUGAAGCAGAUUGUUGCCGACCAA